UAAGAAUUCAGAAGUAAAGGUGUCCAUUUC
rnacentral:piRNA from 1 species